rnacentral:rRNA from 1 species
GAUCGAGUUGUAAUUUGAAGAAGCGUUUUCUGCGUAUUUGAUCAGCCUAAGUCCUAUUGAAUGAGGCAUCACGGAGGGUGAUAAUCCCGUCCGGUUGAUCAUUUGCGUUUUACGAUACGCUUUCUAAGAGUUCAAGUUGUUUGGGAUUGCAGCUUAAAAUGGGAGGUAAAUUUCCCUAAGGCUAGUAAACGGCGAGAGACCGAUAGCGAACAAGUACC